rnacentral:rRNA from 1 species
AGAACGAACGCUGGCGGCAGGCUUAACACAUGCAAGUCGAGCGCCCCGCAAGGGGAGCGGCAGACGGGUGAGUAACGCGUGGGAACAUACCCUCCGGUUCGGAAUAGCUCAGGGAAACUUGGAUUAAUACCGGAUACGGCCUAGCGGCGAAAGAUUGAUCGCCGGAGGAUUGGCCCGCGUCUGAUUAGCUAGUUGGUGGGGUAAUGGCCCACCAAGGCGACGAUCAGUAGCUGGUCUGAGAGGAUGAUCAGCCACAUUGGGACUGAGACACGGCCCAAACUCCUACGGGAGGCAGCAGUGGGGAAUAUUGGACAAUGGGCGCAAGCCUGAUCCAGCCAUGCCGCGUGAGUGAUGACGGCCUUAGGGUUGUAAAGCUCUUUCGCUAGGGACGAUAAUGACGGUACCUAGACAAGAGCCCCGGCUAACUUCGUGCCAGCAGCCGC